UACGUAGGGGGCUAGCGUUGUCCGGAAUCAUUGGGCGUAAAGAGCGUGUAGGCGGCUCGGUAAGUCCGCUGUGAAAGUCCAGGGCUCAACCCUGGAAAGCCGGUGGAAACUGUCGAGCUAGAGUCCGGAAGAGGCGAGUGGAAUUCCUGGUGUAGCGGUGAAAUGCGCAGAUAUCAGGAGGAACACCAAUGGCGAAGGCAGCUCGCUGGGACGUGACUGACGCUGAGACGCGAAAGCGUGGGGAGCAAACAGG
rnacentral:rRNA from 1 species